rnacentral:rRNA from 1 species
AUACGGAGGGGGCUAGCGUUGUUCGGAAUUACUGGGCGUAAAGCGCGUGUAGGCGGAUCGUUAAGUCAGGGGUGAAAGCCCGGAGCUCAACUUCGGAAUUGCCCUUGAUACUGGCGAUCUAGAGGCCGGGAGAGGUGAGCGGAAUUCCCAGUGUAGAGGUGAAAUUCGUAGAUAUUGGGAGGAACACCAGUGGCGAAGGCGGCUCACUGGCCCGGUUCUGACGCUGAGACGCGAAAGCGUGGGGAGCAAACAGGAUUAGAUACCCUAGUAGUCC